rnacentral:SRP_RNA from 1 species
UGGUCGGGUCCCCAUGAUUGGGCGCCGUGAACCCCGCCAGGACCGAAAGGUAGCAACGGUGUCGUCGUCCCGAGGCAUGGGGGUGCCCGGCCAUCU